UACAUGGGGUGCAAACGUUGCUCGGAAUUAUUGGGCGUAAAGCGCACGUAGGUGGUCCCUUAAGUCGGAUGUGAAAGCCCUCGGCUCAACUGAGGAAGUGCAUCCGAAACUGAGGGGCUGGAGUAUGGUAGAGGGUCGCGGAAUUCCCGGUGUAGAGGUGAAAUUCGUAGAUAUUCGGAAGAACACCAGUGGCGAAGGCGACUCACUGGACGACUGUUGACGCUGAGGUGCGAAAGCGUGGGGAGCAAACAGG
rnacentral:rRNA from 1 species